UACGUAGGGUGCAAGCGUUGUCCGGAAUUAUUGGGCGUAAAGAGCUCGUAGGCGGUUUGUUGCGUCGGCUGUGAAAUCCCGAGGCUCAACCUCGGGUCUGUAGUCGAUACGAGCAAACUAGAGUGUUGCAGGGGAGACUGGAAUUCCUGGUGUAGCGGUGAAAUGCGCAGAUAUCAGGAGGAACACCGGUGGCGAAGGCGGGUCUCUGGGCAACAACUGACGCUGAGGAGCGAAAGCGUGGGGAGCGAACAGG
rnacentral:rRNA from 1 species